AGCCAUUAGAAUCACCUUGAUCCUCUUUUGCAGGUAGCUCUGAAGUUGCAGUGGGAUGCUUGGUUGAUAUGACUUAGCUCAAGUCAAAUGUUCCAACUCUAGUCAUUAUGUAUUGAUCUGGUUAGGUUCCUUGUAGCAUGGCAUUGCAGCAGGAUAGGGUGUUUUAGUUCCCACCAUUUCAGAAACUACACAAUCAGAGAUACAACUGUCACCUGCUAGGGAAGGUUUAACCACAACUCUGCAACAUGAUACGUGUCGGAUUGCAGGUUGUAUGCCCAUGAGUUACUGCAGGAACGUGUUUGUAGCAUGUAAUGCAUGUCCUGUUUUGGGUCUGCAAUAGGGCUUGCUUGGAUGUGACCAGCCUGCUGCAAGAAUGUAAUUUACUUGCCGUUUAGCUUGGUGCAGCUGCUGGCUCAUGCUAGUUCUGCACAAUAGGGUCUGCACCGUAAUUCUGGUUCAGUUCCUUGCCAUGCUCACUCCCUUGGCCUUGUUUCUUUUGGCAAGUCAUGCUCCAACAAAUCCAUUUCUAAAUGCUCUACAUUACUUGGUGUUAAUUGCCUUGAAUUCUAGUAUGUGGCUCACUUUUAUGCAGGUUUUUGGUGGUAUUUAAAUGCAGAAAUUUGGUUUUGGAAUGCAGAAUUUUUGCUGUAUUUUAUGCAGAGUUUUUGUGUGUUUUAUGCAGAGUUUUUAUGCAGAAUUUUGGAUGCACUUUAAUGCAGAAUUUUGUUUAUGCAAUGCAGAAUUUCUAAUGCAGAA